ensembl:lncRNA
CCAACCUCCAGACCAGGCUGCCCAGAGCCACAUCCAGCCUGGCUAUUUUAUAAUAUCUCCCAUUAGGAAGAACUGAGAACAAAUGUGUCUGGACACUGACCAUCCCACAAAAAAAUGCUUAGUUUCAUGAGAAGACUCAGAGAUUGUAUGCUCUCUUCUGCAAAUAGUCUUGAAAGAAUCUUUUGGAGCUGCAGGAUGGCUCACAAGACAACUUUCAAGGAACUACCAGCUGGGAUGGCAAAGCAGAGAAGCUCUGCUUUGCAUAUGGACAUAUGUGCACUCACAUAUACACCCAAAGCCUCUGAACUUGCUGCAGUAGAGGGCUUUUUUCAACAGCAGGAUAAUUAAUGAGAAGAAAUCACCCUGACGGAAAUCCUCAUGAAGACUAGCCCCUUCUAUUUUACUGUGGUAACAAGGUGAUCCCACCCACAGCUGGGACAAAUGCUAUUGCUUUCACUCAGUAUCUGGUGGAAAAAGCUAUAUAAAAUUCAUAGACAGAAAAAAUGACAGAGCUGAGACGUUGGAGUUAGAGUGAGCCAAGAGUAGGAAGUGCUGCGCAUUGUAUCCUAGAAACAGCCUUGAGCUCUUCAGUGCUUUUCAGAUACUCACUGUAGAAUUGUUGGAAGAACUGGUGCAGAUAAAGUAGAUACCAGCUGAAUCAUUGCCACACGGUCAUUAAUCUCCAAAAUUUCAAUCACAUUGUCAUUAAAAUUUAACAGGGUGAUAUGCCCUGAACUAUACAAACACAACUGACUCUGCGCUUCAGGAAUACAUUUAUGUAUAUGAGAGUGGGAAAAACAGUAGUCAGGUGUAAGAAGUUACCUACUAUCUUCCCUCACUUAGAGCCAUGAAAAAUAAUGCCUUGCAAAUGAUAAAACUACAUCCUGUAAUGUGAAUGGCUGAACACAUUAUGUUUCAGUAAGCAUAUCUUUAAUCAGAUGAAGAUGUUUAUUGUAGAAUCAUAGAAUCAUUAAGGUUGGAAAAGACCUCUAAGAUCACCCAGUCCAACCAGCAGCCCAUCACACCAUGCCCACUGCCCAUGGCCCUCAGUGCCACAUCCACACAACUCUUGAACAGUCAUGGGAUGGUGACUCCACCACCUCCCUGGGCAGCCUGUUCAGUGCCUCACCGCUCUUGCUGAGAAGGAAUGUUUUCUAAUAUCCAGACUGAAUCUCCCCUACCACAGCUUAAGGAUGUUAGCCCUCGUCCUAUCACUGUUACGUGGGAAAGGCCAUCUCCUUUAUUUCCAAAGAAGAGACUUGAUUUGUUUUCACAUUAUAAAAGAGAAUCUAGUCAUCGUUUUUGUGGUGCUACAAUGAAGAGUAGUUCACCCUGAAGAGCUGGAAAAGACUGGAGAACCUAGUAGAUGAAAGUAGAGCGAGGACCUUGUAGAUGAAAAAGCAGUCUUGGAAUGAGCAGUCUUGGAACAAAAAUUCUUAUACCCUUAACAAAAUCUAGAGCUACAAGAAAUUCACCUGUUUUCAGAUUUCUCUCAAUUUUGCAGCUGAGUCAAAUUUGCUUUGGUGAGAGGAGUUAUCUUGUUUUGCAAGUUUGCCAACUGGGAGACGGUGAUUAAAAAUGGAUUGUUCCUUUUGUGUAUAGAUUUAUCCAAGGCUGAACCUUCAAAUAGAAAUUCCAGAAUGUAUGAGGGGAGGAAAAUCUAUCUGGGGAAAGAGAGAAGAAUAUAGCUUGUAAAUGCAGAAUUAUUUCAUCAAAGUUAAAUAGAUUGUCUUUUUUCAUAGCAGGAAUUACAAGUGACAGAUGGUCUUGCUGCUGAACCAAAGGUGUAGAAGACCUAUGAUUCAAUCUGCAUUCCUGGCUCUGAAACAGAUUUCCUGUGCAAAAUAGGGCAAAAAACAACAUUUCAGUAAUGGCCAGUUUUGCAGACUUAGUCUGAAAAACUUAAGACCUGAUCUUCAGAUAAGGGCAGUGGGAGCAUUGGUUUACCUUCACUGGGAGAGGUAAAUGUAAAGCCACUCUGAAAUGAUAGCUUCUUAACUUCAGAUUGAAUUAAAAAAAAAAAAUACUGAAAAUGUAAAAAUCAGAAAAUGGUUCCAAAUCUCGAAAAUUCUGAGCAACAGCCUUUCCAAGCAAUGUUUUUUCUAUCUGUGAAACGGAUAUAUUCUUCCAUUGGUCUCCUAUCAAUAUUCCCAUAUGUACACAGGACUACACGACCUCAGACAAGAGAAACAGAACAGAGUAGAAGUAACACCAAUAACAAUACCUACAAUUGAGAUUAUCUUUUACAUUUUCCAUUACAUAAGCCUGCCUUCGAUUUAGUCUCACCAACUUUGUUCACAUGCAUUGAAAUUGUCUAUUAUGGUGCUGAAUUACAUUAAGCUGAAUUUGAAUUUUAUUUCUGUACACGGAUAUAUUUUUAGUUACCUUAUAGAGUUCACUCAUUUCUGAAAUUGACUAUUUCUCUAACCUCAGCGUUAAAAUAAAG